GGUCACAACAUCGCGGGCGGUGGUUAGACGGCAGAAGCUGAAUGAUGAUGGCGAAAGCGGAGCGGCGACUGGCAACCGGCGAUUGACGCGUGAUGGUCAACGGUGAUCGAAGGGUCAUCCCUGCUUCGACUUUGGUGGGUGACGAGACGGGGCGACAGUGGAAGACUGUUCUCGAAACUGUAAUGAUUCUGAAUAAUGUCUUUUAAAUUGGUGGUAAAUUAGUUGAUGAAGCUGUAACUCAAUUUAUGUUGCCACUCGGUGGUAUUGUGCUCCCGAAUUAUGUUGCUAUUUUUUCUCCUAGGUGGUAAUUUAGUUGCUUCUUGUGUAGUACCCAAGUCAUUAAACUGACAUUAUUGGGACAAUUACCUUCGUCAAACCCUAGCUCAUGAAUUUCAUAGACGCAAACAUGGGUUACACCAUCCAGGUUUCGACCACUCAGCAACCAUUGAAGUAAUGUACCACUGGUAGAGAACAGCGUAUGGCUGAAGGAGUCCUUAAAGGAUACGGCUAAAUCCACUAAGCUUGUUCUAGACAGAAAUCUAACCAUGGAAGAAGCAGCUAUUUAUUAGCUGAUUUGUAUUAUGCCUAUACUACGGUACGCAACUAUUUUUUCAUGGGCGAACUUCGAAGCUUGGAUUCAAAAGAACUAUUAUACCCAUUGUUAGAAGCUUUUUUUUUUUUUUUUGUGGUCAAAGAUUAUUGGAAACUUGAGGCACCAUGUAGCCCCUUGCUUCGUAAAGUCUCGUUGCAAGGAAAUCACGAGAAAAGGUUUCUAAAGGUGCAAAAUUUAGUGUUGGCAUAACCAUCUUCAAUGUGACGAAAACUAGGGUUUUCUUCAGUCCAAUGUUUGGUUGGCCAAAAAUUGU